GACGAACGCUGGCGGCGUGCCUAAUACAUGCAAGUUGAGCGCUGAAGGUUGGUCCUUGUACCAACUGGAUGAGCAGCGAACGGGUGAGUAACGCGUGGGGAAUCUGCCUUUGAGCGGGGGACAACAUUUGGAAACGAAUGCUAAUACCGCAUAAAAACUUUAAACACAAGUUUUAAGUUUGAAAGAUGCAAUUGCAUCACUCAAAGAUGAUCCCGCGUUGUAUUAGCUAGUUGGUGAGGUAAAGGCUCACCAAGGCGAUGAUACAUAGCCGACCUGAGAGGGUGAUCGGCCACAUUGGGACUGAGACACGGCCCAAACUCCUACGGGAGGCAGCAGUAGGGAAUCUUCGGCAAUGGACGAAAGUCUGACCGAGCAACGCCGCGUGAGUGAAGAAGGCUUUCGGAUCGUAAAACUCUGUUGGUAGAGAAGAACGUUGGUGAGAGUGGAAAGCUCAUCAAGUGACGGUAACUACCCAGAAAGGGACGGCUAACUACGUG
rnacentral:rRNA from 1 species